rnacentral:rRNA from 1 species
UACGGGGGGGGCAAGCGUUGUUCGGAAUUACUGGGCGUAAAGGGCACGUAGGCGGGUUGUCAAGUCACACGUGAAAGCCCACGGCUCAACCGUGGAACUGCGUUUGAUACUCUCUGUCUUGAGUCCGGGAGAGGUUGGUGGAAUUCCGAGUGUAGAGGUGAAAUGCGUAGAUAUUGGCAAGAACACCAGUGGCGAAGGCGGCCAACUGGUCCAGUACUGACGCUGAGGUGCGAAAGCGUGGGGAGCAAACAGG